UCCAUUUUUAUUUUUAGCAUCUUGGGUAUGUCGUCGGUUUCCUUAUUUUUAGGCGGCCUAAAGCCACUGCUUUAGUGGUCUUUAUUAGGUUGCGCCGCCGUUUGCUCCUCUGGUCACUUUUCCCAUUGUUUCUUGUUUUCCCCAAAUCCAAUCCAUCACUAUUACAAUGGAUACUUGUUGUUGCAUGUUCAACAAAAACAAGGUAUAUUGUCAAGACGAUGAAUGCUACUUUUGGACUGAAGAAACGGAGGCUUCCUUUCUGGCUUCUGUCACAAAUCCCGGUACGAAGCUCUUCAAGGUUUUCCCCGACAAGAUGAGACUGCGAAAGGAGUUGUUGAGACGUGCCCUAAUUGAUGAUCCAAGGAACGAUUCGCGGAGAAACAGAUUCAAUCCCCAACUGUCCAGAUUUGGACUCGAAUCCAAAGGGCUAUUGUCGAUACCGGCACCGGCAUCGUCACCGGUACCGCCAGAGCCCUGCAGUGUGUUCAGGCUGGAGCUCCUUUUUUUGUGUAUGCUGGUCAUCUAUCGGAGGUUAAUUGCACACACUCUGCACCUUUUGAACCCCAAGUCUACAUGGUUAAGUGCUGCGAUUGUCAUAUUUGUUGACAUGGGUGAAGUGGAAAUCUGCCCUGCUUUAUAUGCCCGCUACAGUCUGAAGAAGGUCUUUGUUUUAGAUUGGAAGUUGGGUGCCUUGUGUGGGAUAUCUAGUUGAUAAUAUGGAUCAAUGAAUUGGCGAGGACAAUGAAAGCAAUAAAAAGGGCAGGUGAAGGCGUCUCUCGCCAAUGAUGCUAAUGGGUGCAUGUGAUUGUGGUUCCCCAAGGGUCGUACGUGAGUAAGCCUUUUGGAUCCUCACUAGACUGAAUAAGGAUGAGUCCUUGUUUUGGUCCGAAAGUGAUGCAUGCUGAAACAGCCAUCUGCAUGAGACUACGGUCUAACCAAAAAAUAAACGAAUAAGGCAACUUUCUUACAUGCAUUGCUGACUGGCUAAACUAGGACAACACACCAUGUAUAUUUUUGGGACAUGGGAUGAAUUUAUGAAGUCCACCGCAACAGAGGCAGCGUAUGAGCUUAAUAGUUAUAUCCAUAUAUGAUUGAAUGCUAUGCCUUCUGCACCCAUAGGCCCAUCAUGUCUCAGGUUGCAUUUCCCAGGUACUAGUGAGUGAGCCAAUUGGAUUCUCACUAGUAUCUCCAAUUACUUGAGGACCAUAUUUCUACUGUUAAACCAACAACAUGGUUGCUUCUACUGAAGGUCGACGACGGAGGUCUUUGAAUGACUUUUUCAAAAUAUCCAUUCUUCACUCACAGCUGGGUGUUAAAGAAUUCGUCACGAAGCUUGACUUGGCGCACUAAGUGGCUUGGAGUGAUUUUCGUUUCGCCCUCACAGCACCAAUGAUGUUGAUUCUUGCCCAACCUUGCAAAUUUUGUGUGAAUGUCUAGUAAGGUAAAAUCUCUUUUGUAUUUCCCAAAGCACUUGUAGCGCAUUAUCUCUGAGAAGUUGCUGUCAUCUGAUGCUCGCUUCAGUUUUGAGCAUAAACAAAGAAUUUGGCUGGUCGUUGGUCUCCUUCUGAAUAGAAUCUUUCAUCAUUCUGUCACUUGAUAUGAGAAAGAUAAUUGGUAAUUUUCCUAGAGCUGAUCUUUACAUGAUUGCAUCAACCACUUGCAGAUGUUUCCUUCUUGCAUUCUGUGAAGUAAUAUCUGCAAAAUACACAUAGGAGUAUUUAUGAAUUAUGGGACUGAUUCUCUAAUGAACAAGAUUAAGAAAACAAGAAAAAUAAGAAUCAUUUUUGUGUGGCAAAAUUGUGUUAUUUGUUUAAUGGUGAGAGAGUUUCUCUCUCUCUCUCUCUCCCGCCCCCUCUCCCUCUCCCUCUCCCUCCCAUCCAGCAGAGUCUUCCACAAGGAUGAUCAAGUAGGUGAACUGUUCUUACCAAGUCCUGAUGAAUUUGUUCUUUUAUGUUUUAAAAAACCUGUUUCUUAUCCAACAUUUCUUUUUUAGCGUUUAUACUUAAGAUUAUGUUUCGAAUCACCAUUUGGGACUUGUUGACAUGGUCUCAGAGGGACCACGAUCACAGUGAAGGAAAAUAUUGGCCAUCGCGAUCUCACACGAGGUGCACCGCUUUCAAGAUGAGUAUUUUAGCUGUGUUGACUUCAGUCAACUGUACAGCGUGAUCACGAGGAGGGGAGCAAUCGCGAUGAGCUGCUGAACAGUAUAGAAACCUGAGUUCAUGAAAACAGCAACUAUAUUUUUUCCUGUUCAGUAAUACCUUCAGUAAAAGUUUCCCUGAUUCUUUCAUUGUUUCUUUUGUAAUUUGCAAUUAGACAACUGCUUCCUUGCCUGCAUUAAUAAGGGAACUAUUGAAGGCAUAUAUGACGGUCUUAAGGAGUGGGCUGUCGUUAGCAAACCAGCUGGAGGAAUAUGAGUAGAUGUCCACUACAUAGUGCUACUCGGAGUUAAUACUAAUGGAACAAAUGGGGCAUUAAAUGGAAUUGCUGUGUGUUCAAAUCAAUGACAUUGCCGCUAUGUUGAGUGUUGACAAUGGGGGUCCCAAAAGAAAGGGCAUGGGCUCGUUUCUGUUCUUGUUUAGAAUUCUUAAGUGCAGGGGUUAAAGCCUCCUUUUUAUUUUUUUUUCUUACCAUGUAUGCUGCCCAUACAUGCCUUUUGCUGUUUAUCUUGAGAAAUGCUGCUAAACUUGAAUUUCUGGGUUCAAGGAAGAACCGCAGACUGUGUUAUAUGUGUCUCUGUGUGUGUAUAUAACGACACUGAAACCCUGAUCGGCUAGUACAUAACAAUUUCUAUUCUCCUUUUGCAUACAAGGUUUGUCUAUACUCAGCAAUUUGACUAGACAUCACUAAAAUUUUCAAAUCUGUUGGAAAAGGUCCUUUCUGUGCCUGACCUUUGUUUUUUUUCCAAAUAAAGUUCCUAGUUUGGCAGACUGCUGGGGUGAUGAUUUUAAGAACCUCUACACGAAGUAUGAAAAAGAGGACCAAGAAAUGAAGGUUGUCCAGGCACAAAUCUCUGGUUUGAUAUCUUGGAAGUCCCAGAUAGAAACCUACUAGGACCCCUUACAUUUUUUGUUUCAGUUGCCUUUCAUAUGAUUCUGUUAUUGUUCUUAAGUUUUACUCACCUACUACAUUCUAUUUGUUAUUGUAGGGUAGUUGUAAUGAAAAAAAAAAAACAACCAGCAGAAUCUUGGUGAAGUCUUCUAAGAGUUUAUUAUGUUCACAAGUCCAAUAUUUCAGUGGUUGCGCCUAAUCAUUUAACAGAGUGUACUUAUCUUUUUCAAUGAAUCAAUGCAGCAAGGAUUCAAGACAUAUCUAAUAUAGUAUGGGCAUUUUCUUGCAAACUGUUCUAAAAAUAGGCCACUUAUUCACUAAUUAAUUGGAAGACAACAAAGAUGUACACAACAACAAUAAUUAGCUCAUAUAGUGUUU